rnacentral:rRNA from 1 species
UACAGAGGGUGCAAGCGUUGUCCGGAAUCACUGGGCGUAAAGGGCGCGUAGGCGGCCCGAUAAGUAGGGGUGAAAUCUUGCGGCUCAACCGCAAGGCUGCCUUCUAGACUGUCGGGCUUGAGCACAGUAGAGGCAGGUGGAAUUCCCGGUGUAGCGGUGGAAUGCGUAGAGAUCGGGAAGAACAUCGGUGGCGAAGGCGGCCUGCUGGGCUGUUGCUGACGCUGAGGCGCGACAGCGUGGGGAGCAAACGAGG